rfam:Koutango virus isolate PM148, complete genome
AUGGAGUCAGGCCAGGUAACACUGCCACCGGAAGUUGGGUGAACGGUGCUGCCUGUAUCCCAACCCCAGGAGGACUGGGU